UACGGGGGGGGCAAGCGUUGUUCGGAAUUACUGGGCGUAAAGGGCUCGUAGGCGGCCAACUAAGUCAGACGUGAAAUCCCUCGGCUUAACCGGGGAACUGCGUCUGAUACUGGAUGGCUUGAGUGUGGGAGAGGGAUGCGGAAUUCCAGGUGUAGCGGUGAAAUGCGUAGAUAUCUGGAGGAACACCGGUGGCGAAGGCGGCGUUCUGGACUGCAACUGACACUGAGACGCGAAAGCGUGGGUAGCAAACAGG
rnacentral:rRNA from 1 species